rnacentral:rRNA from 1 species
CGUAACAAGGUCUCCGUAGGUGAACCUGCGGAGGGAUCAUUACACAAAUAUGAAGGCGGGCUGGAACCUCUCGGGGUUACAGCCUUGCUGAAUUAUUCACCCUUGUCUUUUGCGUACUUCUUGUUUCCUUGGUGGGUUCGCCCACCACUAGGACAAACAUAAACCUUUUGUAAUUGCAAUCAGCGUCAGUAACAAAUUAAUAAUUACAACUUUCAACAACGGAUCUCUUGGUUCUGGCAUCGAUGAAGAACGCAGCGAAAUGCGAUAAGUAGUGUGAAUUGCAGAAUUCAGUGAAUCAUCGAAUCUUUGAACGCACAUUGCGCCCUUUGGUAUUCCAAAGGGCAUGCCUGUUCGAGCGUCAUUUGUACCCUCAAGCUUUGCUUGGUGUUGGGCGUCUUGUCUCUAGCUUUGCUGGAGACUCGCCUUAAAGUAAUUGGCAGCCGGCCUACUGGUUUCGGAGCGCAGCACAAGUCGCACUCUCUAUCAGCAAAGGUCUAGCAUCCAUUAAGCCUUUUUUUCAACUUCUGACCUCGGAUCAGGUAGGGAUACCCGCUGAACUUAAGCAUAUCA